rnacentral:rRNA from 1 species
AUACGUAGGUGGCAAGCGUUGUCCGGAAUUAUUGGGCGUAAAGCGCGCGCAGGUGGUUCCUUAAGUCUGAUGUGAAAGCCCCCGGCUCAACCGGGGAGGGUCAUUGGAAACUGGGGAACUUGAGUGCAGAAGAGGAUAGUGGAAUUCCAAGUGUAGCGGUGAAAUGCGUAGAGAUUUGGAGGAACACCAGUGGCGAAGGCGACUGUCUGGUCUGUAACGGACACUGAGGCGCAAAAGCGUGGGGAGCAAACAGGAUUAGAUACCCUGGUAGUCCACGCUGUAAACGAUGAGUGCUAAGUGUUGGGGGGUUUCCGCCCCUCAGUGCUGCAGCUAACGCAUUAAGCACUCCGCCUGGGGAGUACGGUCGCAAGACUGAAACUCAAAUGAAUUGACGGGG